CACGUAGGAGGCGAGCGUUGUCCGGAAUCAUUGGGCGUAAAGAGCGCGCAGGCGGCUUGGCAAGUCGGGUGUGAAAUCCCGGGGCUCAACCCCGUGACUGCAUCCGAUACUGUCAGGCUAGAGGUAGGUGGGGGAGAUCGGAAUUCCUGGUGUAGCGGUGAAAUGCGCAGAUAUCAGGAGGGACACCGGUGGCGAAGGCGGGUCUCUGGGCAGUAACUGACGCUGAGGAACGAAAGCGUGGGUAGCAAACAGG
rnacentral:rRNA from 1 species